CUCCAGCACUGAGUGACAGAGGAAGCAGCAGAAGAGCUGUGAGAGUCCAGCAUGGAACCAUGGAGCAUCAGUAGAUCUUCAGCGUUCAGCCCUGCUGCUCUCCCUCAUUUCACCAUCCUGAAGGAGAUUUAUCCAAAGAACCACUCAGAAAACGUUUUCAGAUCAACAACAUCUGCUGCUUCUGCGAGACUGGUGUACAAACUCUAUUUUGAUCAAUAUUUAGUGAAGCUGGUUUCUUGUUUCUUCUGUUUUCUUCUCAUCUUCUCUGAAGCUUAAAUUCCUGGUUGAAGUGUUGAUGUCAGCUGAUAGUCAGAGAACUCUUUUCCUGUUUGAGAGCUUUGUUUCAUUGGUUUAGAAGGAAACACAGAGAAUUCCCUCCUGACUGGACUGAUUUGGGAACAUGUUCAAUCACUCUGCUCUCUCCAGCUCUCCUCCUCCGACUCUUCCACUGCAGCUGUUGUUGUCCUCAGCUGUUUCUCUAGAUUCAGUACCCGGGCAUUGCAGAGCAGCAGCAGACACUGUCCUCCCCCAGGAGGACUCUCCCCUCCCCCAUGUUGUUCACCGUCCCUCUCUCCUUGGCAUUCUGGAGUGUCUGGAUCUCCAUCCAGUGUUUGGUGACACACAGCAGGACUUUUCCACAGAGCGGCCGUUCCCCUGGCUCUGUGGCUUUUCUAAUGUCUGCAAGGAAAGAAAGUCACUGAAUCCUGAAACAUCAUUGAUAUUAAAGCUGCAGCAGCUUCACCUGUUCAACUCAAAGCAGAAUUUUAAUGUCCAAGUAGAGACUGAUGUGUAACAGACACUCUACAAAGACACUGUUAAACUUCAGAUUUCAGCUUCAGACACAUUCAACUCUGACUUUGUUCACAGAUCCAGACUGUUUAGACUCUAACAGACUGACUGACAGUGAAACUACGUCUCAUCAGGAUCAUGUCAUUUAUCCUCAUUUUGAGAAAAAACAUCCAGACCAGAAUUUUCACACUGCCUGAGUUCAGCUGGGAGCCAGAGAGAGAAGUGGAGCCCCGGCCUUGGAUUGGUCUUCCCCUUAUAGACAGUCCCAUCAGCCUCCGUCCAAUCCGUGGCCAGCCUGAACCUCCUGCUUCACACAGAACAUGAGCAGAGAACCCUGACCCAGGAGGGAGGGGAAGCGUCACACCGCCAUGACUCCUGCUGGGCCGCUGUGCUGCUGAGUCCCUCACAUCCUAAAUGAAACCACUGGAGGACUCAGCUCUGCUUCUCUCCAGGAACCAUGUCCUCCAGCUCUUCUGUCUGACAACACUGUUUUGGUCUGCUACCUGAAAAUAAGGCCGUUUACACUGCAGAGGCUUCAAGAGGAAACACUAAACUCUCACUGUGUUUUGGUGUCUGUUUACACCACAACAGUGCUGGAGACACUGAAAACACUACUUUCUAGAAACUGCUCCAAGGUGGAACUUUUCCAGAGCUCUCAAGCUCUGUCUCCUUGUUGACAGUGGAAAUGCUGCUGCUGGUCAUGAACAUGAGAUCAGUCAAACCUCCAACACAAAGUCAGAAAAGCUUCUGGAACUUAACUCAAAGGGAUCCUGGUUGAUGACUGAAGGUUCAAUCCAUUUGUAGGAGAGGGUGACGAUAAUUAAAGGGCUCGCUCGGGAAUUGAACCCAGGACCUCUCACACCAUAAGUGAGAAUCAUACUCCUAGACCAACGAGCCCACAUGUUUGUUUGGAACAUGAUGAUAAAUUUGACCUCAACCACUUCAAACAGUCCAGCAGGGUGUAAACAGGUGACCUUGAUGACCCCGACACUGCAGAGACUCUGGAGCUGGACCAGGACAGUGUGGUCACAUCUGACCUGAAGGAGAAACCAUGGCUGUGAUUCCAGCUGUAGAGACACAUUUACUGAGAACAUCUGGCUCACAGAACAUCCAUGGAUGAAAGCAGGCAGAAAGAAGUCCUGUUGGAGUGGAUUCUCCACCUUUCAAUACCCAGGUGGAGCAAAGCACCAUGAUGGAUCUCUGAAGUGGUCAUCAAACCUGGGGCGCUGCUGAUCUGUUGGAAUGACUUUAUAGAACAACACACGAAGGUUUCCUGGUUCCUCAUCCCAGGAUGUUCAGACUCCAGUCAGGAGGACAAAGCCAGUAAAGAACAGGACUCCACUCCACGAUCUGCUCUGACCCUGAAAAUAAACAUCUGGUGCAUUCAUGACGUAUGGUUCCAUAAACUAUUUUAACUUCAGGCAUUUCCUGUUUGUGUCAACAUGUCAUGUAAACACAGCUGCUUCACACUGAAAGAUCAGCAGUAUGUCUCCAUUCCAACAGCUCGGCCUGGACUCUCCUCAUCCACUGGUCCAACAGAAUCCUGACUGCUGGAAUUAUUGCCAGUGAAUGAGAUCAGGAGUAAAGUGCUGAUGGGAGUGUUUUCAGAACAGCUGUCUCACAGGAACAGUCUGUCUUCAGAACAGCCUCCUUGGUUUCACUGUUUUGGACGAGCCUCACCCUCUGGAGACAGAUGGCUCUAGCUCACUGGAUCCGCCUGGAAGUUUGACCAGUAUUUGUUUAGUGAAUGUUUAAAGAACCUUUUAAUCUCUGAACCAUGUGAAAGACGUCCUCAGUGUGGCAGCAGUGAGCACUGUGGCCUGUACGUUUCUCCUCGGACCGCCGAGCAGUGAGCACCAUGGUCUGUCUGAUUAUUUUACUGUAAUAGAAUUAUGUAAUAGAAAUAAUUACUUAUUUCAAGUAAUUAUAUCAAAAUUGUUUAAAAUACUGUAAAUACUAUUUUUUUUAUAUUUCAUACUACUUCAUAUAAGCUGGCAAAGCAAAUAGGUACUGUCCAUUUAAUAAACCCAAAUAUAAUACUGUCAAGUGUCACUCUAGUAAACAGUCAAGUCAUUUCCUGUAUCCACUCCCUUUAUCACCCAAUCCAGAGGAACAACUCCACACAUUUCUUUUUCAUUCACUGCAGAGCAGUGGGACUGGGAGAUGACUGCUAACGAUCAAUAACUCUAAAUGACUGAUUAUUGCAGGGAUAUAGAACUAUUU